CCAACUACCUCCAAGUGACUGGAAAGUUAGGCCACUGAAAUCGGAAAGGCAACAUAGAGAAAAGUGGUGGAAAGUUGACCAACGCAUCGUCGAGACAAGUUGACGCUGAAAACACAUGAAGGCUACUGCGGGAUUUUGGUUAAUUUUUUGUUAUUGAAAAGUGGUUGGCACGAAGGACAAGACCAUGAACACUGCUCACGAAGAAUGAAGCGAAAAGGACAGAAAAUGAAGCAUGACCUACGCAUAACACCAUAUCUAUAACCAAGAAAAGUGCAAGUGAAAAAUAUGUUAAUAAAAGCAAUAAUAAAUUAUU